rnacentral:lncRNA from 10 species
UGGUGGCUUACACCUGUAAUCCCAGCACUUCGGGAGGCCGAGGUGGGCAAAUCGCCUGUGCUCAAGAGUUUAAGACCACCCUGAGCAACAUGGGGAAACCCUGUCUCUACUAAAACACAAAAUAUUAGUCAGGCAUGGUGGAGGCACAUGCCUGUAAUCCCAGCUACUCGGGAGGCUGAGGUAGGAGAAUCAUUUGAACCCAGGUUGCGGUGAGCCGAGAUCGCACCAUUGCACACUCCAGCCUGGUCAACAAGAGCAAAACUCCCGCCAGGCAUGGUGGCUUAUGCCUGUAAUCCCAGCACUUUGGGAGGCCGAGGUGGGCAGAUCACAAGGUCAGGAGAUCAAGACCAUCCUGGCUAACACGGUGAAACCCUGUCUCUACUAAAAAUACAAAAAUUAGCCGGGCAUGGUGGUGGCCGCCUGUAGUCCCAGUUACUUGGAGAGACUGAGGCAAGAGAAUGGCGUGAAGCCGGGAGGCGGAGUGCAGUGAUCCGAGACCAUGCCACUGCACUCCAGCCUGGGUGACAGAGCGAGAGUCCGUCUCAAAAAAAGAAAGAAAGAAAGAAAGAAAAUAUACCAAACGAACUUGUAGAUUUGAGCAAAGAAAUCUCCAGUCAGAAUGUUGAAAGUGUCCAUUGGCUUUUACCAUCUGUGUUUGAUAAAGUUUUCUUUCUUUUUUUUUUUUUGACACAGAGUCUUGCUCUCUUGCCAGGGCUGGAGUGCAAUGGCACGAUCUAGGCUCAACCUCCGCCUCCCGGGUUCAAGUGAUUCUCCUGCCUCAGCCUCCUGAGUAUCUGGGAUUACAGGUGCAUGUCACAAC